rnacentral:tRNA from 1 species
GGCGCCAUCGUCUAGUCUGGUCUAGGACGCCGCCCUUUCACGGCGGAAACACGGGUUCGAAUCCCGUUAGCGCUACCA